GCGGUAAUACGUAGGUCCCGAGCGUUAUCCGGAAUUAUUGGGCGUAAAGGGGCACGUAGGCGGACUAAAUAAGUUUGAUGUCAAAUAUGAUGGCUCAACCAUCAAGAGGCGUUGAAAACUGUUUAUCUAGAAUCUCGGAGAGGUAAGUGGAAAUUCCAUGUGUAGCGGUGGAAUGCGUAGAUAUAUGGAGGAACACCAAUGGCGAAGGCAGCUUACUGGACGAAGAUUGACGCUGAGGUCGCGAAAGCGUGGGUAGCAAACAGGAUUAGAUACCCCUGGUAG
rnacentral:rRNA from 1 species